rnacentral:lncRNA from 1 species
GGCAGCCAUUUUUUAGUUCCAAUUUUGCACCGACUCUGGGGAGUUAGGGUUCCUUGUUAUAGUGCACCAUCAUUCGGAUUGGUACUUUUGGCUCUGAGAAAGCGGGCAGACAAAAUUAGGUGGAAGUAUAAUAAUAAUAAUACAGAAAAAGAAACAGAGGAAAAGCAAUAUGUCACCCGACAUUGUCGAUCGGGUGACAUAAUAAAAAUAAUAAGAACUGAGCAAAAACAAUAAGUCUCCAAACUUUGUUUGGGAGACUUAAUAA